rnacentral:misc_RNA from 1 species
GACCUUGAAAAUAGAAACAAAUAAAAUCCUACAAAACAAUAACAAAGGUAACCAGAUCGAGAAUGCGAUUGCAAUAAAUGGCAAGAAUCUAAAAUUAAUUGCUCCAUGGGAGGAUGUGAGAAAAGGAGGCCGAUGGUGAUAGAUUCUAUGGUUUGCCCCAAGCCUCGCUGAUUGGGGCUUUCAAAUCCUUCCCUUCACGAU